rnacentral:lncRNA from 1 species
GGAAAGUGGUGCUGCUUUCCUGUCUGAAUCUUGGAUUUAGAAAAGAAGGAAAAAGGAGGGGGAGAAAAACACCCUAAGCAGCCACACUACAAGAUUUAAUUGAGUGUGUUUCAGUUCCUCAGCCUCACGCCAGCUGAAUAAGAAAGUGACUGAGAGAAGCUACAUCCCCCAUCACCUCCUCUUUAUGCUUUUUUGGACAGAGCUUCUGCUGAGGUGUGUACCAUAUUUUCUGAAGGAUCUGGAAGAAAUUACAGGAGUGACAGUUGUGAGAGGGACGUACUCCAGAUUGGCGGGGCUGGUUUGUGCUUUGUUACCACAUUGCCUCCUCCUAGCAGAAUGGAUGUGCUGGUGGCAUUCCCGGAUUUCUCGAGCUCUCAUGCUAACUCUGAGUCAGCUUUGACCUGGCUGGGUGCCCACCUGCAUAAUUCCAGAUGUGACCAUGGAGAGUGCACAGGGCAAACAACCCUAGGGAAGAAGGUCUUGCUGGCUUGAUGUCUAAAAACAAAAUAAAAAUCAAGUAAAAUUCCUCGAGUCUAAGUCU